rnacentral:rRNA from 1 species
ACGCUGGCGGCGUGCUUAACACAUGCAAGUCGAACGGGAUCCCAGGAGCUUGCUCCUGGGUGAGAGUGGCGAACGGGUGAGUAAUGCGUGACCGACCUGCCCCAUACACCGGAAUAGCUCCUGGAAACGGGUGGUAAUGCCGGAUGCUCCAGUUGACCGCAUGGUCCUCUGGGAAAGCUUUUGCGGUAUGGGAUGGGGUCGCGUCCUAUCAGCUUGAUGGCGGGGUAACGGCCCACCAUGGCUUCGACGGGUAGCCGGCCUGAGAGGGCGACCGGCCACAUUGGGACUGAGAUACGGCCCAGACUCCUACGGGAGGCAGCAGUGGGGAAUAUUGCACAAUGGGCGCAAGCCUGAUGCAGCGACGCCGCGUGCGGGAUGACGGCCUUCGGGUUGUAAACCGCUUUUGACUGGGAGCAAGCCCUUCGGGGUGAGUGUACCUUUCGAAUAAGCACCGGCUAACUACGUGCCAGCAGCCGCGGUAAUACGUAGGGUGCAAGCGUUAUCCGGAAUUAUUGGGCGUAAAGGGCUCGUAGGCGGUUCGUCGCGUCCGGUGUGAAAGUCCAUCGCUUAACGGUGGAUCCGCGCCGGGUACGGGCGGGCUUGAGUGCGGUAGGGGAGACUGGAAUUCCCGGUGUAACGGUGGAAUGUGUAGAUAUCGGGAAGAACACCAAUGGCGAAGGCAGGUCUCUGGGCCGUCACUGACGCUGAGGAGCGAAAGCGUGGGGAGCGAACAGGAUUAGAUACCCUGGUAGUCCACGCCGUAAACGGUGGAUGCUGGAUGUGGGGACCAUUCCACGGUCUCCGUGUCGGAGCCAACGCGUUAAGCAUCCCGCCUGGGGAGUACGGCCGCAAGGCUAAAACUCAAAGAAAUUGACGGGGGCCCGCACAAGCGGCGGAGCAUGCGGAUUAAUUCGAUGCAACGCGAAGAACCUUACCUGGGCUUGACAUGUUCCCGACAGCCGUAGAGAUACGGUCUCCCUUCGGGGCGGGUUCACAGGUGGUGCAUGGUCGUCGUCAGCUCGUGUCGUGAGAUGUUGGGUUAAGUCCCGCAACGAGCGCAACCCUCGCCCUGUGUUGCCAGCACGUCGUGGUGGGAACUCACGGGGGACCGCCGGGGUCAACUCGGAGGAAGGUGGGGAUGACGUCAGAUCAUCAUGCCCCUUACGUCCAGGGCUUCACGCAUGCUACAAUGGCCGGUACAACGGGAUGCGACCUCGUGAGGGGGAGCGGAUCCCUUAAAACCG